rnacentral:rRNA from 1 species
GACGAACGCUGGCGGCGUGCUUAACACAUGCAAGUCGAACGGAAAGGCCCUGCUUGCAGGGUGCUCGAGUGGCGAACGGGUGAGUAACACGUGGGUGAUCUGCCCCUUACUUUGGGAUAAGCCUGGGAAACUGGGUCUAAUACUGGAUAGGACCAUGCUGUAGGUGGUGUGGUGGAAAGAUUAGUUUCGGUAAGGGAUGAGCUCGCGGCCUAUCAGCUUGUUGGUGGGGUAAUGGCCUACCAAGGCGUCGACGGGUAGCCGGCCUGAGAGGGUGGACGGCCACAUUGGGACUGAGAGACGGCCCAGACUCCUACGGGAGGCAGCAGUGGGGAAGAUUGCACAAUGGGCGCAAGCCUGAUGCAGCGACGCCGCGUGGGGGAUGACGGCCUUCGGGUUGUAAACUCCUUUCAGCCAUGACGAAGCCCUUGUGGUGACGGUAGUGGUAGAAGAAGCACCGGCUAACUACGUG